rnacentral:lncRNA from 1 species
AUGAAGCUCGUGAGAUUUUUGAUGAAAUUGAGUCAUGAAACUGUAACCAUUGCAUUGAAGAACAGAACACAGGUCCAUGGAACAGUCACAGGUGUGGAUGUCAGCAUGAAUACACAUCUUAAAGCUGUGAAAAUGACCCCGAAGAACAGAGAACCUGUACAGCUGGAAACGCUGAGUAUUCGAGGAAAUAACAUUCGGUAUUUUAUUCUACUAGACAGUUUACCUCUGGAUACACUACUUGUGGAUGUUGAACCUAAGGUGAAAUCUAAGAAAAGGGAAGCUGUUGCAGGAAGAGGCAGAGGCAGAGGAAGAGGAAGAGGACGUGGCCGUGGCAGAGGAAGAGGGGGUCCUAGGCGAUAA